AGCGAACGCUGGCGGCAUGCUUAACACAUGCAAGUCGCGCGGGCAGCAAUGUCAGCGGCGGACGGGUGAGUAACGCGUAGGAAUGUGUCCAGAGGUGGGGGACAACCCCGGGAAACUGGGGCUAAUACCGCAUAUGACCUGAGGGUCAAAGCUGUAAUGCGCCUUUGGAGCAGCCUGCGUCCGAUUAGGUAGUUGGUGGGGUAAUGGCCUACCAAGCCUGGGUUCGGUAGCUGGUCUGAGAGGAUGAUCAGCCACACUGGUACUGAGACACGGCCCAGACUCCUACGGGAGGCAGCAGUGGGGAAUAUUGGACAAUGGGCGCAAGCCUGAUCCAGCAAUGCCGCGUGUGUGAAGAAGGUCUUCGGAUCGUAAAGCACUUUCGACGGGGACGAUGAUGACGGUACCCGUAGAAGAAGCCCCGGCUAACUUCGUGCCAGCCGCCGCCGUAAGAC
rnacentral:rRNA from 1 species